rnacentral:rRNA from 1 species
CUGCCCUGUACACACGGAUAACAUACCGAAAGGUCUUCUAAUACGAGAUAAAAUACUUUUAUCGCAUGGUAGAAGUAUCAAAGCUUUUGCGGUACAGGAUGGACCCGCGUCUGAUUAGCUAGUUGGUAAGGUAACGGCUUACCAAGGCGACGAUCAGUAGCCGACCUGAGAGGGUGAUCGGCCACAUUGGAACUGAGACACGGUCCAAACUCCUACGGGAGGCAGCAGUGGGGAAUAUUGCACAAUGGGCGAAAGCCUGAUGCAGCAACGCCGCGUGAGCGAUGAAGGCCUUCGGGUCGUAAAGCUCUGUCCUCAAGGAAGAUAAUGACGGUACUUGAGGAGGAAGCCCCGGCUAACUACGUGCCAGCAGCCGCGGUAAUACGUAGGGGGCUAGCGUUAUCCGGAAUUACUGGGCGUAAAGGGUGCGUAGGUGGUUUCUUAAGUCAGAGGUGAAAGGCUACGGCUCAACCGUAGUAAGCCUUUGAAACUGGGGAACUUGAGUGCAGGAGAGGAGAGUGGAAUUCCUAGUGUAGCGGUGAAAUGCGUAGAUAUUAGGAGGAACACCAGUUGCGAAGGCGGCUCUCUGGACUGUAACUGACACUGAGGCACGAAAGCGUGGGGAGCAAACAGGAUUAGAUACCCUGGUAGUCCACGCCGUAAACGAUGAGUACUAGCUGUCGGAGGUUACCCCCUUCGGUGGCGCAGCUAACGCAUUAAGUACUCCGCCUGGGAAGUACGCUCGCAAGAGUGAAAC